rnacentral:rRNA from 1 species
AUUAGAUACCCCACUAUGCUUAGAAAUUAACCAAGACAGGCCCACUAACAACCUGUCCGCCAGAGAAUUACGGGCGAAAGCCUAAAACUCAAAAGACUUGACGGUGUCCCAAUUCUACCUAGAGGAGCCUGUUUCAUAAUCGAUAACCCCCGCUCAACCCGACCACCCCUCGCAAACCAUCAGCCUAUAUACCGCCGUCUUUUCCUGCUUACCUUUUGAAAGAAAUUAUAGUAAGCCCAAUAGUUUAUAACUAAAAAGUCAGGUCAAGGUGUAGCUUAUGGGGCGGAGAAAAUGGGCUACAUUUUCUACUUAAUAGAACACACGGAAAAUAUUCUGAAAUAAAACAUUCGAAGGCGGAUUUAGCAGUAAGCCAAACUAGAGUAUUUGACUAAAACAAGCUCUGGGACAUGUACACACCGCCCGUCACCC